rnacentral:rRNA from 1 species
AACGCAGGCGGUCUUUUAAGUCUGAUGUGAAAGCCUUCGGCUUAACCGAAGUAGUGCAUUGGAAACUGGAAGACUUGAGUGCAGAAGAGGAGAGUGGAACUCCAUGUGUAGCGGUGAAAUGCGUAGAUAUAUGGAAGAACACCAGUGGCGAAGGCGGCUGUCUGGUCUGUAACUGACGCUGAGGCUCGAAAGCAUGGGUAGCGAACA